CCACAGCUAGUUAAAACCCACUUGACUUAUCUUUCUGUUGGGGGCUCAGCAUGCAGUGACUGCAAAAAGCAGAUUGACUGGUUGUGUGUACAACUCAUUCCUUGUUUGUUGCUCUAAGGGACUUUUGAGAUAUCU